GAUUGCCUCAGUAACGGCGAGUGAAGCGGCAACAGCUCAAAUUUGAAAUCUGGCUCCUUCGGGGUCCGAGUUGUAAUUUGUAGAGAGUGCUUCGGGGGAGACCGCGGUCUAAGUCCGUUGGAACAUGGUGUCAUAGAGGGUGAGAAUCCCGUAUGUGACCGCGGCUCGAACCCAUGUGAAGCCUCUUCGACGAGUCGAGUUGUUUGGGAAUGCAGCUCAAAAUGGGUGGUAAAUUUCAUCUAAAGCUAAAUACUGGCUGGAGACCGAUAGCGCACAAGUAGAGUGAUCGAAAGAUGAAAAGCACUUUGGAAAGAGAGUUAAACAGUACGUGAAAUUGUUGAAA
rnacentral:rRNA from 1 species